rnacentral:rRNA from 1 species
GUGGCGAACGGGUGAGUAACACGUGAGCAACCUGCCCCUGACUCUGGGAUAAGCGCUGGAAACGGCGUCUAAUACUGGAUACGAGUAGCGACCGCAUGGUCAGUUACUGGAAAGAUUUAUUGGUUGGGGAUGGGCUCGCGGCCUAUCAGCUUGUUGGUGAGGUAAUGGCUCACCAAGGCGUCGACGGGUAGCCGGCCUGAGAGGGUGACCGGCCACACUGGGACUGAGACACGGCCCAGACUCCUACGGGAGGCAGCAGUGGGGAAUAUUGCACAAUGGGCGCAAGCCUGAUGCAGCAACGCCGCGUGAGGGAUGACGGCCUUCGGGUUGUAAACCUCUUUUAGCAGGGAAGAAGCGAAAGUGACGGUACCUGCAGAAAAAGCGCCGGCUAACUACGUGCCAGCAGCCGCGGUAAUACGUAGGGCGCAAGCGUUAUCCGGAAUUAUUGGGCGUAAAGAGCUCGUAGGCGGUUUGUCGCGUCUGCUGUGAAAUCCGGAGGCUCAACCUCCGGCCUGCAGUGGGUACGGGCAGACUAGAGUGCGGUAGGGGAGAUUGGAAUUCCUGGUGUAGCGGUGGAAUGCGCAGAUAUCAGGAGGAACACCGAUGGCGAAGGCAGAUCUCUGGGCCGUAACUGACGCUGAGGAGCGAAAGGGUGGGGAGCAAACAGGCUUAGAUACCCUGGUAGUCCACCCCGUAAACGUUGGGAACUAGUUGUGGGGUCCAUUCCACGGAUUCCGUGACGCAGCUAACGCAUUAAGUUCCCCGCCUGGGGAGUACGGCCGCAAGGCUAAAACUCAAAGGAAUUGACGGGGACCCGCACAAGCGGCGGAGCAUGCGGAUUAAUUCGAUGCAACGCGAAGAACCUUACCAAGGCUUGACAUAUACGAGAACGGGCCAGAAAUGGUCAACUCUUUGGACACUCGUAAACAGGUGGUGCAUGGUUGUCGUCAGCUCGUGUCGUGAGAUGUUGGGUUAAGUCCCGCAACGAGCGCAACCCUCGUUCUAUGU